GACGAACCGUGCGAACGUUGUUCGGAAUCACUGGGCUUAAAGGGCGCGUAGGCGGGCUGUCAAGUCCAGGGUGAAAUCCUUCGGCUUAACCGGAGAAGUGCCCUGGAUACUGAUAGUCUCGAGGGAGGUAGGGGUAGAUGGAACUGGUGGUGGAGCGGUGAAAUGUGUUGAUAUCACUAGGAACGCCGGUGGCGAAAGCGAUCUGCUGGACCUCUUCUGACGCUGAGGCGCGAAAGCUAGGGUAGCGAACGGG
rnacentral:misc_RNA from 1 species